CCUACGGGUGGCUGCAGUGAGGAAUAUUGGUCAAUGGACGGAAGUCUGAACCAGCCAAGUAGCGUGCAGGACGACGGCCCUAUGGGUUGUAAACUGCUUUUAUGUGGGAAUAAAGUGAGGGACGUGUCCCUUUUUGUAGGUACCACAUGAAUAAGGACCGGCUAAUUCCGUGCCAGCAGCCGCGGUAAUACGGAAGGUCCGGGCGUUAUCCGGAUUUAUUGGGUUUAAAGGGAGCGUAGGCCGUCUUUUAAGCGUGUUGUGAAAUACUGUCGCUC
rnacentral:rRNA from 1 species